rnacentral:rRNA from 1 species
AUUGAACGCUGGCGGCAUGCCUAACACAUGCAAGUCGAACGGGGGCAGCAAUGCCCUAGUGGCGGACGGGUGAGGAAUACGUAGGAACCGGCCCACGAGUGGGGGACAACCUGGGGAAACCCAGGCUAAUACCGCAUACGCUCGCGAGAGGAAAGCGGGGGGGACCUUCGGGCCUCGCGCUGGUGGACGGGCCUACGUCCGAUUAGCUUGUUGGUGGGGUAAAAGCCUACCAAGGCGACGAUCGGUAGCUGAUCUGAGAGGAUGAUCAGCCACACUGGGACUGAGACACGGCCCAGACUCCUACGGGAGGCAGCAGUGGGGAAUAUUGGACAAUGGGCGCAAGCCUGAUCCAGCAAUGCCGCGUGGGUGAAGAAGGCCUGCGGGUUGUAAAGCCCUUUAAGCGGGGAGGAAAGACCGGGGGGUGAAUAGCGCUCGGGGUGACGGUUACCGCAGAAUAAGCACCGGCUAACUCCGUGCCAGCAG